rnacentral:rRNA from 1 species
AGAUUAGCUAGUUGGUAAGGUAACGGCUUACCAAGGCGAUGAUCUGUAGCCGGCCUGAGAGGGCGGUCGGCCACACUGACACUGACAUACGGGUCAGACUCCUACGGGAGGCAGCAGUCGGGAAUUUUGGGCAAUGGGCGAAAGCCUGACCCAGCAACGCCGCGUGAAGGAUGAAAUCCUUCGGGAUGUAAACUUCGCAAGAACGGGAAGAAUAAGUGAGAGUUAAUAUCUCUUACGAUGACGGUACUGUUUGUAAGCUCCGGCUAACUCCGUGCCAGCAGCCGCGGUAAUACGGGGGGAGCAAGCGUUGUUCGGAUUUACUGGGCGUAAAGGGCGCGUAGGCGGCCACCGCAAGUCGACUGUGAAAUCUCCGGGCUUAACCCGGAAAGGUCAGCCGAUACUGCGGGGCUAGAGUGCAGAAGGGGCAACUGGAAUUCUCGGUGUAGCGGUGAAAUGCGUAGAUAUCGAGAGGAACACCUGCGGCGAAGGCGGGUUGCUGGGCUGACACUGACGCUGAGGCGCGAAAGCUAGGGGAGCGAACGGGAUUAGAUACCCCGGUAGUCCUAGCCUUAAACGAUGGAUGCUUGGUGU